rnacentral:rRNA from 1 species
GUCCGCACAGUAAACGAUGAUAACUAGUUGUUUGCGAUAUACAGUAAGCGACCAAGCGAAAGCGAUAAGUUAUCCACCUGGGGAGUACGCCGGCAACGGUGAAACUCAAAGGAAUUGACGGGGGCCCCGCACAAGCGGAGGAGCAUGUGGUUUAAUUCGAUGAUACGCGAGGAACCUUACCAGGGCUUGAAAGUUAAGGAAUGAUUAUGAAAGUAGUCAGUCAGCAAUGACCUAAAACUAGGUGCUGCAUGGCUGUCGU